rnacentral:rRNA from 1 species
AGUGAACGCUGGCGGUAGGCCUAACACAUGCAAGUCGAACGGCAGCACAGUAAGAGCUUGCUCUUACGGGUGGCGAGUGGCGGACGGGUGAGGAAUACAUCGGAAUCUACUUUUUCGUGGGGGAUAACGUAGGGAAACUUACGCUAAUACCGCAUACGACCUACGGGUGAAAGCAGGGGAUCUUCGGACCUUGCGCGAUUGAAUGAGCCGAUGUCGUAUUAGCUAGUUGGCGGGGUAAAGGCCCACCAAGGCGACGAUCCGUAGCUGGUCUGAGAGGAUGAUCGGCCACACUGGAACUGAGACACGGUCCAGACUCCUACGGGAGGCAGCAGUGGGGAAUAUUGGACAAUGGGCGCAAGCCUGAUGCAGCCAUGCCGCGUGAGUGAAGAAGGUCUUCGGAUUGUAAAGCUCUUUUGUUAGGAAAGAAAAGCAGCGGGAUUAAACCCCGCUGUCCUGACGGUACCUAAAGAGAAAGCACCGGCUAACUUCGUG